CACCGAAAACCCUAGAUACCGAUAACUCACCAGAAAUCACCCAAAAACGAUAAAAACGUUGUUAAAACGUUGAGGUUAAGAAGAUUCACCCGGAUAUUAUGGUGUGAAACACUUUGAACCAUGUCCGAUCAAAACGGAAUCAUCACUGACCAUUCGAUCUCAGGAAAAUCCUCAAAAAUCGUCAAACAAAUGUUCAAAAGUGAUACCGAUAUGCAAAUAAACAUGAUCUGAUCNNNN
rnacentral:lncRNA from 1 species